rnacentral:rRNA from 1 species
GACGAACGCUGGCGGCGUGCCUAAUACAUGCAAGUAGAACGCUGAAGAGAGGAGCUUGCUCUUCUUGGAUGAGUUGCGAACGGGUGAGUAACGCGUAGGUAACCUGCCUGGUAGCGGGGGAUAACUAUUGGAAACGAUAGCUAAUACCGCAUAAAAUGGAUUAUCGCAUGAUAAUCCAUUGAAAGGUGCAAAUGCAUCACUACCAGAUGGACCUGCGUUGUAUUAGCUAGUUGGUGGGGUAACGGCUCACCAAGGCGACGAUACAUAGCCGACCUGAGAGGGUGAUCGGCCACACUGGGACUGAGACACGGCCCAGACUCCUACGGGAGGCAGCAGUAGGGAAUCUUCGGCAAUGGACGGAAGUCUGACCGAGCAACGCCGCGUGAGUGAAGAAGGUGUUCGGAUCGUAAAGCUCUGUUGUAAGAGAAGAACGAGUGUGAGAGUGGAAAGUUCACACUGUGACGGUAUCUUACCAGAAAGGGACGGCUAACUACGU